GCAGCGCGGGGCAACCUGGCGGCGAGUGGCGAACGGGUGAGUAAUAUAUCGGAACGUACCCAAGAGUGGGGGAUAACGUAGCGAAAGUUAGCUAAUACCGCAUACGAUCCACGGAUGAAAGUGGGGGACCGCAAGGCCUCACGCUCCUGGAGCGGCCGAUAUCUGAUUAGCUAGUUGGUGAGGUAAAGGCUCACCAAGGCGACGAUCAGUAGCUGGUCUGAGAGGACGACCAGCCACACUGGGACUGAGACACGGCCCAGACUCCUACGGGAGGCAGCAGUGGGGAAUUUUGGACAAUGGGCGCAAGCCUGAUCCAGCAAUGCCGCGUGAGUGAAGAAGGCCUUCGGGUUGUAAAGCUCUUUUGUCAGGGAAGAAACGGUUCUGGAUAAUACCUGGGGCUAAUGACGGUACCUGAAGAAUAAGCACCGGCUAACUACGUGCCAGCAGCCGCGGUAAUACGUAGGGUGCAAGCGUUAAUCGGAAUUACUGGGCGUAAAGCGUGCGCAGCGGUUUUGUAAGUCUGUCGUGAAGCCCCGGGCUUAACCUGGAAUUGCGAUGGAACUGCAGCUUGAUCUGGCAGAGGGGGUAGAAUUCCACGUGUACAUGAUGCGU
rnacentral:rRNA from 1 species